ensembl:lncRNA
AAUGACAAAGGUGUUUGUAAAGACUUCCAAAAUAAUCCUAUUGGCUGGCUUGGGAAAACAACCGCAUACAUGUGAAACUGGUCAGUCAGUCAUGGCUCUCAAUUUGGUUAUUGUUAGGCUACUUGUCCAGUAAAUGUUUGAACUAAAUAAACAAACCUUACCUAUUCCCAAACCAACUGUAAUCCUUCCGACAAGAAGAACCUCCUUGUUUGGAGCAGCACCUAACACAACUCCUCCAGCAGUAAAAAUGAAGCUGGCCAUUAGUAUGCAGAUCCUGCGCCCGAAGAGCCCAUUCAGAGUCCCGCCAGCCAGGGCAGAGAGCGCCGCUGCACCCACAGUACUGGAGACCAACAACUCCUGCCAUAGAGCGGUCAAAUGCAUUUCUUUUUUCAGGAGAAGCAUAGCCCCAGAGACCACCCCGGUGUCAUAGCCAAAAAGGAAGCCACCCAGGGCAGAAAAAAACGCCAAGACGUACACGAAUACCGGUGUGACAUCCUGGUCGGUGGCCAGCUCCGGUUCGCCGGCGGCAGAGGUGACGGUGACGCCAGGGUUGUUGGUGCUCGAUUCAGACGGCGCUCUGAUGAGACUCCGCCGCUCUCUGUCGUCCGUAACUUUCUUCCUCAUGACGCCCAUGGGGUUGCUCAUACUACGCAGAUUGUAUUCAUUGUCGUUUCUGUUGAGGGACAUAAAGAGAAACAACUUCACAAACGUUCAACCAGGGCAGAGAAAAAUAGAUACCUGAGUAGGCUGGCUAUACAGGUAACUCCGUUUCGAUUACCAUUCACUCGGGUAAUUUACGCGUGAAAUGGAGGGGAGGGGAUAGCCAUUUUGGUUGGUCACUGAGUGAAGGGUAUGUAUGACGCUAGAAUAAAAUCAGCUCUGAUUACGCACAUGAAAAGUCAAACAUGUUUAUAACAACGUUAUAAUAUUCCAAGCCAUAUUCCUAAUUACUAACCCGAAAUGUAUUGCUAUGUAUGCCUAACAACUUGAGCAUUUUCCCCAACCACAAAAUCGUAUAUAGGGAAAUAAGAAAUAGGUCUGUAGGCUACUGUUUUCUUAUUUCCCCAAAAACAUGAAAUAUAGAAUAG